GGUGGCUCAUGCCUGUAAUCCCAGCACUUUGGGAGGCCAAGGUGAGAGGAUUGCUUGAGCCCAGAAUUUUGAGAGCAGCCUGUACAAUACAGGGAGACCCCCAUCUCUACAAAAAAUAAAAUGUUAGCUGGGCAUGGUGGCAUGCCUGUUGUCCUAGCUACUUUGGGAGGCUGAAGUGGAGAUUUCGUUUGGGCCCCGAAGGUUGAGGCUACACUGAGUGUGAUCUCGCCACUGCACUCCAGAGCUUGAGAAACAGAGUGACACUGUCUCAAAAAAAAA